AACUGGAAGACUAAACAUGCUGGACUUAAAAUUCUGUGUUUUCUUAUUUUAUGCAUUGCUGCUGAAUACUUUUGAAAUUAAAACAAACCGCUCCCCAAACUCAGUGAUAAAUUCAGUAGGGAAUCUCUUCUAACGUGGCCCUUGCUUUUCACAUCAAUUACUUUCUCCUCCACUUUUUUCCCUAGUUUCUCGUCUUUUCCUCCAGGUAUCCAAAGAGCUUGAGCAAUCUCUCCAUAAAUACCAGUUCUAUUAUGCUUAUCGAUCACAGUGAUGCACAGGAUAUUAAAUGAAAGAGAGUUUUACCUUCUUCCAAAUGUAGUGAUUCCAGUGGACUGGGGAUCUGACUAGUGAAUCUGUCAGAUUUCCCUUUGCCAUUCUCUAGUUGGCCGUAACUGAACCUUUCUUUACUGUGUUAUGUGCUACCUUCUCUUCUGCUAGAGGUUCCUAUCCCAUCUGCUUUGGCCUCUAAUGACAAUUGCUGCAUCAUACUGCUUUUAGUGACCUGUACAUUUAAUCAGCUGAUGAAUGAUGUAGCACUUGGACAUAGCACACUGUGGGAUUUGGAAACCAUCAUGCAAGCAAGUCAAGGAGGUGAAGCACCUUUCUGGGCAUACAUCCUGGGUGCACUAGGACUUUUUAUCUACCAGUCUCUGGAUGCCAUUGAUGGGAAGCAAGCCAGAAGAACAAACAGUAGUUCUCCUCUUGGAGAACUCUUUGAUCAUGGUUGCGACUCUAUUUCCACAGUAUUUGUUGUCCUUGGAUCCUGCAUAGCAAUCCGACUAGGAACAAAUCCUGACUGGUUGUUUUUCUGUUGUUUUGUGGGACUGUUCAUGUUCUAUUCUGCUCACUGGCAGACAUACGUAUCAGGCAUACUAAGGUUUGGAAAAAUUGAUGUAACUGAAGUUCAGAUUGCCAUAACACUGCUGCUCUUGAUAUCUGGCUAUGGAGGAGCAGGAGUAUGGGACUAUAAGGUCCCGUUGCUGGGCUUAGAACUGAAGUUCUUUGCAGUUAUUGGUAUCCUCUGUGGAACAGCACUUUCUUUUUUCAAUUACUUCCGUGUCAUCUUUGGUGGAGGGGUUGGAAAGAAUGGAUCUACAAUAGCAGGAACAAGUGUUCUUUCACCAGGCCUGCACAUUGGACUGCUUAUCACACUGGCCAUUACAAUUUAUAAAAAGUCUACAACUCAGCUGUUUGAAAAACAUUCUUGCCUGUAUGUCUUGACAUUUGGGCUUGUGAAUGCCAAAAUCUCACAGAAGUUGGUGGUGGCUCACAUGACAAAAAGUGAAAUUUGUCUUCAAGACUCUGCAUUUAUUGGGCCAGGACUUCUGUUUUUGGACCAGUACUUCAAUAGUUUCAUUGAUGAAUAUAUUGUUCUGUGGAUAGCACUGUUCAUAUCCUUGUUUGAUAUGCUGAGAUAUGCCAGUGGUGUGUGCCUACAGAUUGCUGCUCAUCUUCAUAUACAUGUCUUCAGAAUUUCAUCUCAUCAAGCUCCUGAGCAGGUUCAAAACCAUAAUGACUGAUUAAAUAGGUCAAGGACAAGAGAAGAAGCAGUUAGGGGAAUGAAACAGCCUCUCUGUUUUUGAGAAGACAGAUUAAGCUUUCAAAGAAAACAGUUUUAUGAGAAAGUUCACUCUGUUUCAGAUGUUACCAGAUGUUAGAAUUAGUAGAUACAAAUUCUGCAGAUGCUGUUGUACUUUUGAACCAGUAUGUAUUUCCCUGUGUUUCAGACCACAAAUGCUACAUUUGAAAAUAUUGCCAUUUCCUGUAAGGUAACUUUAAUUCUGCACUUCUCUUCUGGUGAAUGUAGAUGCAAACCAAGGUGCUACCAACCAGAGUUCGAAGAGGAAGUUCCUGUUUCCCUAAUCCACUUGUCUAAUCUUGUAGCAUUAGUUUCUAAAAUUUUGUUGGAACUGCUCUGAAGUGGUUGUCAGAUGUACCAAUGAAUUCAAUCCUGCAUUAAGACUGGUAAAAUGAGGCAGCAACGAGGUAAAAAUCAUUCAGUCUCUCUUCUGGUACUUCUAAAGGAACAAGCUGUUGGAUCAGUAGAUAAAGGAGGUACAAGUUGCUCUUCCACUGAGCCAUCAGAAUAACAUGGACUGAAGAGACUUGCGAACAGUUGCCAUCUCCUGCUGUUGCUGUCACAAGAAAAGGAGAUAAUGCUGAACAAAUGCUGUAUCAAUAUGAUUCACUUGAAUUAAAUGAAUGUCAAAUGACUUUU